UAGGGAAUCUUCCACAAUGGACGAAAGUCUGAUGGAGCAACGCCGCGUGAGUGAUGAAGGGUUUCGGCUCGUAAAACUCUGUUGUUGGAGAAGAACGGGUGUCAGAGUAACUGUUGACAUCGUGACGGUAUCCAACCAGAAAGCCACGGCUAACUACGUGCCAGCAGCCGCGGUAAUACGUAGGUGGCAAGCGUUGUCCGGAUUUAUUGGGCGUAAAGCGAGCGCAGGCGGUUUUUUAGGUCUGAUGUGAAAGCCUUCGGCUUAACCGGAGAAGUGCAUCGGAAACCGGGAGACUUGAGUGCAGAAGAGGACAGUGGAACUCCAUGUGUAGCGGUGAAAUGCGUAGAUAUAUGGAAGAACACCAGUGGCGAAGGCGGCUGUCUGGUCUGCAACUGACGCUGAGGCUCGAAAGCAUGGGUAGCGAACAGGAUUAGAUACCCUGGUAGUCCAUGCCGUAAACGAUGAGUGCU
rnacentral:rRNA from 1 species